UUUCAUAAUUAUUUUAUUUUAAAAAGACCUGAUUUACACGAACAAUCCCACAAGACUCAGUUGUCAUUGGAAAUUGACAGAAAGCUGAAUUCGGAGUCAAAGGUUGAGUGGUUUAUGCAACAAAAAGAGCAAAGAUAUCAACUUUUUUCAGACCCCCUGCGUGAAAGUCAGUGGUAUAUUAAAAGUCAAUAUGAAGCAAACAAACAGAGUACAUACAAUAUCCCUUCUGUGUGGGAAGCUGGUUAUACUGGAAAAGGAAUUCUGGUGGCAGUAGUUGAUGAUGGGGUUGAUGGCACACAUCCUGAGCUAUCUGCAA